rnacentral:lncRNA from 13 species
UUUUUACCUCUUAAGAUAAAAAAGACCUUCAUAAGUCUGCCCAUGGCUUAGAAUAAAACAUUCAAACAUUCAAAAACAGAACACUGAUAUGAAUAUAGAACAUUUUUUUCCCGAUGAGGUCAACACAUUAAAGAAAAAAUUAUGCUCUAUCCAAAGUUGGCUUUAUUUCUGUUUCUUUUUGCAGACCCCUUGAUGAUAUGCACGACUUUUCAGUUUCUGAGAAAUAAUGAAACAUUGCCAUUUUCAAGAUAUUUUUGACCUGAUUUCCAGUGACCAUUCUCCAGUAGGGACUCGUCUGGAGGCUGAGGUGGAAGAAUCGCUGGAACCCAGCAGGUGGAGUUGCAGUGAGCCGAGAUUGCACCACUGCAUUCCAGCCAGGUAACAGAACAAGACUCUGUCUCAAAAAAAUUGGAUGGAUGGAUGGAUGGAUGGAUGAUGGAUGGAUGGAUGGAUGGAUGGAUGGAUGGAUGGAUGGAUAGAUGGAUGGAUGGAUGGAUGGAUGGAUAGAUGGAUGGAUGGAUAGAUAGAUAGAUAGAUAGGCAGUUUAUAAGUGGCCUAAACAAACACGAGGGAGUCCAGAGGCAGGCUGUCUAUAACUGGUGUGCCAGGAACACAAAGUUGUCAGGGACUUGGUUAAUUUCUUUGUUGUAAAAAUGCAACAUGUUAGAAGCCUUGAGCAGCAUUUUUCUAAAAUAAUCCACUAUUUGUUGAGGACAGGGCUUAUCAUUUUAUCUCUGCAAAGUAUCUGACAAACUUAGGCACUUCAUGUAUAUUUGUUAAAUAAAUGUAUAAAUGAUGGUAAUCUAAAAAAAAAA